UACGUAGGCAGCAAGCGUUGUUCGGAAUUAUUGGGCGUAAAGCGCUGGUAGGUGGCUUGUUAAGUCGCGUGUGAAAUCUCCAGGCUCAACUUGGAAAGUGCGCGCGAAACUGGCGAGCUUGAGUGCCGGAGAGGGUCGCGGAAUUCCCGGUGUAGAGGUGAAAUUCGUAGAUAUCGGGAGGAACACCAGAGGCGAAGGCGGCGACCUGGAAGGUAACUGACACUGAGCAGCGAAAGCGUGGGGAGCAAACAGG
rnacentral:rRNA from 1 species